AGAGUUUGAUCCUGGCUCAGGAUGAACGCUGGCUGUGUGCCUAAUACAUGCAUGUCGAGCGAAUUUCUUUAGAGUAGAUAAACGAAUUGGGUGAGUAACACGUACUUAACCUACCCCCAAGAUUGGGACAACGUCUGGAAACGGGCGCUAAUACCAAAUACGUAUUUUUAUCGCAUGAUAGAAAUAUAAAAGGAGCUUCGGCUUCACUAGGGGAUGGGAGUGCGCUACAUUAGUUAGUUGGUAGGGUAAUGGCCUACCAAGACUAUGAUGUAUAGCGGGGCCGAGAGGCUGAUCCGCCACACUGGGACUGAGAUACGGCCCAGACUCCUACGGGAGGCAGUAGUAGGGAAUUUUCCACAAUGAACGAAAGUUUGAUGGAGCGACACAGCGUGCAGGAUGAAGGUCUUCGGAUCGUAAACUGCUGUUAUAAGAGAAGAAAAAAUUUGGGAGGUAAUGCCCAAAUCUUGACGGUACCUUAUCAGAAAGCGACGGCUAACUAUGUGCCAGCAGCCGCGGUAAU
rnacentral:rRNA from 1 species